UUUCCUCUUUUUUACUUCUAUCACCCAGCCAUCUCCUACAAUCGCCCAUUAAUUUUAUUACUGAACUUGCAGCUGAUAGCUCCACUGAUUAUAGCCAGCCAAUAGCGUGUAGACUUGUUGUCUCACCACCUGUGACGUCAGCAAGUCUAUAAAAGCUUGCGCUGCCCCAAAAUAUUGGUCCUUUACCAUCUGACCCGUACAUGUACGAAUUGUACGAUGUGCCCUCUCUAGCCCUUCUGGCACAAGUAUGACUAUUCUUUUGUAAAUUCUGUAAUUUUCCAAAUUCAACUUCAUACAUCUUUCGGCCCUUUAAAAUUCUAGUUCAUUUCUGCUCUCCCACAACUUUUUAGUAAAAACUCUCUUGUUCCGACAUAAUUCCGAAACAUGCAUCUUGUGUUCUAACAAACUUCGCAUGGCGCUUGUGGUACUUUGGCCGAAAGGUGACGAUAUUUAUCAGAGAUUACGGAGACCGUUACCAUAUGUAUAAUUUUUCUGUCACCAAGAAUUGAGAUCUCUUAACUUACCCUAUAAUGAACUUAAGUGCUCGCAUUCGAGUGUGAAAAAUGACCCAUAAAUCAAAUUUAAAAUUAAUGAGGAUAUCUUCGGGUCAAACGACUUAUUUUGCGGCAUGUUUGAGAAAGGAGGAAGUGGGGACCGUUCUUCCGCGUGGCCGAAGGGAGCCGAGAAUGAUUCAAUGUUGCCCACUGCGCGGCGCGGCACUCGCCAAAUCGCUCCUGUCAAAAUUUGAGUCACGCUAAUAGGGCUAAUGGAACUUGUUGCUCCUGUCUGUCCCACGCACCGCCACAACCAUGUAGCCGGGCCAUGAGUCAUCCGAGCCCUGAUUUUUCCGUUUAUUUAUUCAUAUUAUAAUGUCAAUUAAACCGUAGAUCUUAAAA